AGUGAACGCUGGCGGUAGGCCUAACACAUGCAAGUCGAACGGCAGCACAGUAAGAGCUUGCUCUUACGGGUGGCGAGUGGCGGACGGGUGAGGAAUACAUCGGAAUCUACUUUUUCGUGGGGGAUAACGUAGGGAAACUUACGCUAAUACCGCAUACGACCUACGGGUGAAAGCAGGGGAUCUUCGGACCUUGCGCGAUUGAAUGAGCCGAUGUCGGAUUAGCUAGUUGGCGGGGUAAAGGCCCACCAAGGCGACGAUCCGUAGCUGGUCUGAGAGGAUGAUCAGCGACACUGGAACUGAGACACGGUCCAGACUACUACGGGAGGCAGCAGUGGGGAAUAUUGGACAAUGGGCGCAAGCCUGAACCAGCCAGACCGCGUGGGUGAAGAAGGCCUUCGGGUUGUAAAGCCCUUUUGUUGGGAAAGAAAAGCAGCAGGUUAAUACCCCGCUGUUCUGACGGUACCCAAAGAAUAAGCACCGGCUAACUUCGUG
rnacentral:rRNA from 1 species